GUCAAAUCUUCCAAAGCUAGCAAGUCCCCCUUGAUUACUUUACAGAUGAGGGUCUCCAUAAGCUUGCGAAUGUUUACAUAAUCACCAAGCUGUCCUUCUCGUAAAAUGUCUGAAGCAAUUGGACUUCCACCAUAUGGACUCUGUGCUAAAACCAGCCCUCCAACCUUAUCUUUCAGAUCAGUCCAAUACAUGGACAGAGCAGCUGCUGCAUCUACUCCCCCUUUACUGUGUCCAAGAAGCAAGACACGUUUCCUGGAACCCCAAUAAAUUUCUUCAAUGUAAUCUUUAAUUU
rnacentral:misc_RNA from 1 species